GCAAUGCCUAGUGGCGCACGGGUGCGUAACGCGUAACCAACCUGCCCUUGACUGGGGGAUAGCCCGCCGAAAGGCGGAUUAAUACCGCAUAAAAUAAGGUGGCGGCAUCGUCUCUUUAUUAAAGAUUUAUUGGUCAAGGAUGGGGUUGCGUAGCAUUAGCUGGUUGGCGGGGUAACGGCCCACCAAGGCGACGAUGCUUAGGGGAGCUGAGAGGCUGGUCCCCCACACGGGCACUGAGAUACGGGCCCGACUCCUACGGGAGGCAGCAGUAGGGAAUAUUGGGCAAUGGGAGCAAUCCUGACCCAGCCAUGCCGCGUGCCGGAUGAAGGCUUUCUGAGUCGUAAACGGCUUUUGCCAGGGAAGAAUAAGGGGCAUGCGUGCUCCGACGACGGUACCUGGUGAAUAAGCACCGGCUAACUCCGUGCCGCAGCCGCGGUAAUACGGAGGGUGCAAGCGUUGUCCGGAUUUAUUGGGUUUAAAGGGUGCGUAGGCGGUUUUUUA
rnacentral:rRNA from 1 species